UCUUGAUGUUGUUGGCUGGUUGGUACUUUAUGUUGUUAUUGGCUUGUGGUGUUGUUUCCUGGUUCAUACAUGAUGUUGUUAGUUGGUGGUGUUGUUGCUUGGUAGUUGAUAUUGUUGUUGGCUGAUGGUGUUGUUGCCUGGUAGUGUUGUUGGCUGGUGAUGUUGUUUCUGAAUAAUUAUUUUGAUAUUGUUUACGGGUGUUCAAAUUAAGCUAUGAUGCAUUUCAAUUUAUCUGAUAUUAGCAUUGCAGUUUAAGCUCAACCUUUUAGCCCAACAACUUCCCACAGAAGAGGAGGUGUAGUCUGCCAAUGCAAUUUUGAAGUCAUGGAAGGAACAGUAUCAGAGUUUGCAUAUGAGCUUGAGAAAUGCCAACUUGCAAGCAAAAUCGAACAUCCAGAAAGCUGCACGGGAAGAGGCGAGUUGUCUGUUAUGCUUCAUUAAUUGUUUCUCUAUCAUUUAUUUGCAUUUUUUUCUUUGUACUUAUAGCCACAUUUAAAAUGCAUGAUAUUGCUGCAUUUGAGUUUUUAGUCUUUCUUGUCCUGUUACUCGAAGGAAAUGACUAUUCUUUCUGGUUCCUAAUGAGAAAAUUGUGCAAGUGGAUGGUGCAUGAUAUUGCUACAUCUAAGUUAACAUAUCAUUGUUUGUA